rnacentral:rRNA from 1 species
AGAACGAACGCUGGCGGCAGGCUUAACGCAUGCAAGUCGAACGCUCCGCAAGGAGAGUGGCAGACGGGUGAGUAACACGUGGGAACAUACCCUUUGGUUCGGAACAACUCAGGGAAACUUGAGCUAAAUACCGGAUAAGCCCUACGGGGGAAAGAUUUAUCGCCGAAGGAUUGGCCCGCGUCUGAUUAGCUAGUUGGUGAGGUAAUGGCUCACCAAGGCGACGAUCAGUAGCUGGUCUGAGAGGAUGAUCAGCCACAUUGGGACUGAGACACGGCCCAAACUCCUACGGGAGGCAGCAGUGGGGAAUAUUGGACAAUGGGCGCAAGCCUGAUCCAGCCAUGCCGCGUGAGUGAUGAAGGCCUUAGGGUUGUAAAGCUCUUUUACCCGGGAAGAUAAUGACUGUACCGGAGAAUAAGCCCGGCUAACUUCGUGCCAGCAGCCGC